rnacentral:rRNA from 1 species
AGAGUUUGAUCCUGGCUCAGAGUGAACGCUGGCGGUAUGCUUAACACAUGCAAGUCGAACGAGAACGGUAUAUUCUUCGGAAUAUAUGUCAGCUAAGUGGCGCACGGGUGAGUAACACGUAGCUACCUGCCUCAUAGACCGGGAUAACAGUUGGAAACGACUGCUAAUACUGGAUAUACCCUAAGGGGGAAAGAUUUUAUCGCUAUGAGAUGGGGCUGCGGUGUAUCAGUUAGUUGGUGAGGUAAAAGCUCACCAAGACUAUGACGCAUAACUGGUCUGAGAGGAUGGUCAGUCACACUGGAACUGAGACACGGUCCAGACUCCUACGGGAGGCAGCAGUGGGGAAUAUUGCACAAUGGAGGAAACUCUGAUGCAGCAAUACCGCGUGGAGGAAGAAGCAUUUCGGUGUGUAAACUCCUUUUAUAUUCGAAGAUAAUGACGGUAGAAUAUGAAUAAGCACCGGCUAACUCCGUGCCAGCAGCCGCGGUAAUACGGAGGGUGCAAGCGUUACUCGGAAUCGCUGGGCGUAAAGAGCGCGUAGGCGGGUUGUUAAGUUGGAAGUGAAAGCCCACAGCUCAACUGUGGAACUGCUUCCAAAACUGGCAACCUAGAAUUU